rnacentral:rRNA from 1 species
CCCCGGGACCCUAACCGUGCAAGGUAGCAUAAUCAUUUGCCUUUUAAUUGGAGGCUGGUAUGAAUGGUUUGACGAGAGCUGUGCUGUCUCUUCUGAAAUAUUUAGAAAUUAACUUUUAGGUGAAGAGGCCUAAAUUUAUUUAAGGGACAAGAAGACCCUGUUGAGCUUUAGUGAUGUUGCAAAUGAUAUAGAGUAAGUGUUACUAAUUUGUUAUGUAUUUAUUAUAAUAAAAAUUUGCAAAUAAUCUUUAGUUGGGGCGACUGAGGAACAUAAAAAGCUUCCUUAAAACGAAAUUAUUUAAUUUAUUAAAUGUAUGUAAAUGCUUACAUGUUAUUUUGAUCCAAGUUAUUUUGAUUAAAGGAAAAAGUUACCACAGGGAUAACAGCGUAAUCUUUCUGGAGAGAUCUUAUCGAAAGAAGGGUUUGCGACCUCGAUGUUGGACUAAGAUAUCCUAAGGGUGCAGAAGCUCUUAAAGGUUGGUCUGUUCGACCAUUAAAAUCUUACAUGAUCUGAGUUCAGACCGGCGUGAGCCAGGUUGGUUUCUAUCUUUAAAUUGAGAAUAGUUCUUUGGCUAGUACGAAAGGACCGUUGUAAGACAAUUAAAUUGUGAACUUAGAAUUGAUUUAAGUUAAUUUUAAAUUUUAAAUGAUUGUAAAGCCUGAUUAAGAGGUA